GUGUUCCUUGUUUAACUUUUGAACGGUAAAUUGAUUAUAAACAGAUUUUUUUAAUUUACCGACGUCACAUAAGGCAAGUUCGAUAUCGGUUGCAACUCCGAAGUGCUACCGACUUUAUUACCGGAAGUAACAGUCUUGAAAAUCAAAAUACGGAAGUCAGAAGCAGCGCUAGGGUGUUUCAUUACGAACAAUGCGCCAAGGUCACCGAUGUCCAUCACCAACGUCGGGUGAUGCCAUGAAUCGUGGACACUAGUUGACUUAUUCGUAGAGUGGCGCCACGGUACGGCCAAGCCCAGCAGCCUCGAUGAAAUGUGGAGUCAAGAAACCUGCAGCGGGAACCUUGAACGGUGUCCAUCACUCUUCUAAAGACGUGAAAUUAAAAAUGAAUACGUGGAAUCUCAACGUUCGGUGUUUCACUUCAAGUGGUCUUCGAAUAGAAGAGUGUAAUUAUUCGAGAUAAAACUCAGUAGCGACCGAUUUGUACAGAGUUCGAUUCGAGUACCGAGAAAGUCAGUGGAGUGUAAUAUUCCUCCUAUAUCAUUGCGUAAUAUUUGUUAUUCGCUAACAAGCAGAACUUACUCCAAAAUAUCGUCAUGUUUAAAACGCGCCAAUAAAUUUCCGGAAUGGAAGAUGAAAAUAUUUCGAAGCCGUCACCUCAGUUCCAGAGGGAGGAACGACGGCGUUUGAAAUCUGGUAAAAGAGGGUACAGGUAAAUAACGUGGUGCAGCCAUAGCCCGCGAUUUGUAAAAGACGCCCCUGCGUUGGCCACUGUACGCAAAGAUCGAGUGGUAUUUUGGUCGAGCCGCGGCGGCAGGCGAGAGAGGAGAAAACGAGGAAGGCCGAGGCAAGCGCAAGAGGAACAAGACACACAAAUAGGAGCGGACGCAUAGGAGCUUCGCAUCAAAGUGUGCGGAAGAUCCCGAUGCUCCUCUCUCUCUCUCUCUCUCUCAAGUGAUUCCGAGGUGUUGGCGAGGCGCGCUGACGGACAUAUGGGGAUUCCAGCAGCGAGAUAGGAAAGCCGUGCCGACGACAACGGCCAAACGCCGCAAGUCACUAACUCUACAUUUACUCGGCAAGCACCGGGAACACACGACGGCCCCUUGACUUUACUUACGGCCUUUUUCUCUUUAUAUCGCCAUUCGCGUCCGCAUGAUCGAGAAUGGACCCCCGUUCCUCCCAUUACCGCCGCGAUUAAUCGUUUCAUGCUAUUCAUGCAGCAGCUAGCUUAUAGAACUUGUUUGCUGACAAUUAUAGAUAUUCACUAUCUGAAAUAGAAUUCUAGGCAAAUUCAUUUCAUUACUUCAAAGUAGUCGUCGAAUUCGAUCGUUGUAAAAUAAAUUCAACUUUUAUAUCAGCUCUAAUUCUUCAUUUUCAUAUUCGAUGAAACUAUCAGCACUCGAUAAAAAGCGAUCGAUGCUAAUUUGUUUGCCUGAUAUUUCAAACAUUUCACUUCGUUUUAGAAUCGUUUCAUUUUUUU